CCUACGGGAGGCAGCAGUGGGGAAUAUUGCACAAUGGGCGAAAGCCUGAUGCAGCCAUGCCGCGUGAAUGAUGAAGGCCUUAGGGUUGUAAAAUUCUUUCGCUAGGGAUGAUAAUGACAGUACCUAGUAAAGAAGCCCCGGCUAACUUCGUGCCAGCAGCCGC
rnacentral:rRNA from 1 species